rnacentral:rRNA from 1 species
ACGGCUCAGUAACACGUGGACAACCUACCCUUGGGUCUGGCAUAAUCCUGGGAAACUGGGUAUAAUUCCGGAUAGGUCACAGAUGCUGGAAUGCACUGUGGCCGAAAGCUCCGGCGCCCAAGGAUGGGUCUGCGGCCUAUCAGGGUUGUAGUGGGUGUAACGGACCUACUAGCCUACGACGGGUACGGGUUGUGAGAGCAAGAGCCCGGAGAUGGAUUCUGAGACACGAAUCCAGGCCCUACGGGGUGCAGCAGGCGCGAAAACUUUACAAUGCGGGAAACCGUGAUAAGGGAACCCCGAGUGCCUGUAUAUGCAGGCUGUCCAGGUGUCUAAAAAACACCUGAAGAAAGGGCCGGGCAAGACCGGUGCCAGCCGCCGCGGUAAUACCGGCGGCUCGAGUGGUGGCCACUUUUAUUGGGCUUAAAGCGUUCGUAGCUGGGUUGUUAAGUCUCUUGGGAAAUCUGACGGCUCAACCGUCAGGCGUCCAAGGGAUACUGGCAAUCUUGGAACCGGGAGAGGUGAGGGGUACUUCGGGGGUAGGAGUGAAAUCCUGUAAUCCUCGAGGGACCACCUGUGGCGAAGGCGCCUCACCAGAACGGCUUCGACAGUGAGGGACGAAAGCUGGGGGAGCAAACCGGAUUAGAUACCCGGGUAGUCCCAGCCGUAAACGAUGCGCGUUAGGUGUAUCGGUGACCACGAGUCACCGAGGUGCCGAAGGGAAACUGUGAAACGUGCCGCCUGGGAAGUACGGUCGCAAGGCUGAAACUUAAAGGAAUUGGCGGGGGAGCAC